AGCAAGGCUGGUCAGGAGAGGGAGUAGCCCAGGAGGCAGCGUGUUGCUAUUGCAUGCAGAUUGCCAUGGUGUCCUCUCUGCUGGGUGACUCUGAGCUGGGGUGGAAGGACAGGAGGUGUGAGUCACGGGACAUCACGGUGGGGUGCAUGCUGGAGAGAGAACAAGUUCAAAGGCCCCAGUGCAGGAUGGCAAGAAUUCGAGGCCUGGCACAGCGGUGCCUGGCUGGUGCAGCCGGGGGUUGGAUAUACAUGGGAGGUGCGGUCCUAGAGCACUGAGAGACGCUACAGGUCAUAGAGGGCCCUUCAUGCACGGUAGGCUUUGACUUUCCACUGAGAUGGGAUGCUUUGGAGGAGGCAGAGCAGAGGAAUGAUGUGAAUUUUUUUUUUAGUACUGGGAAUUGAGCCCAGGUCCUUUGCACUCAGCUACAUCCCCAGCCCCUUUUUAAAUUUUUUAGCUAGAGAUAGAGUCUCACUAAGUUGCUGAGUUGCCUAGGCUGGGCUUGAACUUGAGAUUCUCCUGCCUCAGCCUUUCUGAGAGCUGGGAUCACAGAUGUGUGCCACCACACCUAAAUCUGAGUUGUUUUAACAGAAUCCUCUAACUGCUGGGUGAAGAACAGACCGCGCUGGGAGGCAGGACCGGAAGCAGGGAGACUCAGGCCUGCUGCAGUGAGAGGAGAUGGCAGGCGGAGGCCAUGGGAAAGUUCUUGUUCUGGGUGGAGUUGGAAGGUAGCUGAAGGGUCAGCUGUGAGAGGCCUGGGGAAGAGAGGAGUGAAGGAGACUCCAAGACUUUGGUCUGCGUAGCCAGAAGAAUGGAGUUGUCCCAUCCUGAGCCUGCACGGGAGGUGCAGCAGGUUCCUUGGACAAAGUGGAGCCUUGGGGUUGUUUAGUCUGCGAUGCCUCUUAGAUAUCCAUGUGGAGGUGCUGGGUAGACAGUUGUGGGUCUGAGGCCAGGAGAGAGGUCUGGAUUACAGACAACUUUGCGAAUCAUCAGCCCACAAUGAAAUAAAGGGACUGAAAGGAAUUGUCUGGAGUAAGUGUGUAGACAGAGAGGACUGUGGAGCAUGGAAUCCUCGGGCUGCCGCUAGCACACACCCAGUGCUGCUGGACCAGCCCUUCAUGAUGCUGCCUUAGUGAUUGUGGUGGUUAAUUGUGACAUGUCAACUUGACUUGAGUUAGAACCGCCUAGCAGAUUAGUAGAGCUCUGGGAGUCUGUGAUGAUUGGCAUGUAGGCUGCAGGCUGAGGAGGGAAGACUCACCCUGGGUGUGGGUGGUACCAGCCAAUAGGCUUUUAGCUGGGAUGGAAUACAAAGGGAAAGAAGGAGGAAAUCUGCCCUUUUCUUUGGAGGAGCUCCGGUCUUCACCCUCAUCUUUGGAUGUUCAUUUUCAGCCUUCUAGGGCAGACCUUCUGGUUUCCCAACAGGGAUUCACAUUGGCUCUGCAACCUUGGGCUGGAUCCUCUGGCUCUCCAGUGCACAGACGGCCAUUCAGACAGAGACCAGGACCAGUGCUUCCAUUUCCUGGGGACUUUCAUUGAGAGGUCACAAGAAAGGAAGCUGAAUAUGUGUGAAGAGGCUACUGCUGUGCCUGGCAAAUGAAGAAAGUCCCUUAAUGGCUCGGCCAGACCAUCUGUGAAACGUGACAGAAUCUCAAUAGCACUCUGUCUUCUCUGCAGGAGAAAUCCCUGCGGAUUUCACAACAGAGUCCUCAUGCACAAUGGCACGGACCACUUCAGGGGAGUUUAAUUCUUCCUUAAGGCACAUAGCAAAUGCUGGGAAGCCUGUGGGAGGAGCACAGUCCUGUUGGGAAAGCACAGGGGAAAUGUCCUGUGACUCCAGGGGAGAUCAGAGCAGACACAGUUGUCUGAGCUGGAACCUCUGGGCCUUUGUUGGCUCAUCUGUAAAAAGGCUGAAAUACUGGUGUCUACAGAGUUAUCGUAAGGACGAAUGGCAUCGUUGAUAAAACCUGGCACUCAGGAA
rnacentral:lncRNA from 1 species